UACGUAGGUGGCAAGCGUUGUCCGGAAUUACUGGGUGUAAAGCGCGUGUAGGCGGGAGGCCAAGUCUGCUGUGAAAUCGCCCGGCUCAACUGGGCGGGGUCGGUGGAAACUGGUCACCUGGAGGACGGUAGAGGCGAGUGGAAUUCCCGGUGUAGUGGUGAAAUGCGUAGAGAUCAGGAGGAACACCAAUGGCGAAGGCAGCACCCUGGGACGUGACUGACGCUGAGACGCGAAAGCGUGGGGAGCAAACAGG
rnacentral:rRNA from 1 species